UUUGUUGAAACCGACAUUAAAUUUGAUUAUUUCAUUGAAAAGUAUUAACAGAAGAUAAGGAAAUUAAGCCGUAGUAAUACUGACUAUCCAAUAAAACUACAAAGUUAUCUUUCAAUUCAACAUGGGACAGGAUUAUUUACCUGUGAAUUACUGAGCUAUUGAUGCUAUGUACGUAUAUCUAAGGUUCCAAGGAUUAUAACUUUUCUGUGAUCAUCUUACAACAGUGUAUAUUCACAUGGAAAGAGAAUCGAGGGAGAAAUGAACUAGUUAUUAUUGUUAAAAUAAUGAACAAUUUCGUUUCGUACUACUUCUCCUCUCAUAUGCCAAUUCCCUUGAUGUACAAUGUUGACUGGAAUAUUGUUAUCGUCGUUGUGUUGAUCAACUUCUUCGAAGAUUUCUUCAUCAGGCAGUUCAUCUUUGUAAAAGCGUGCUAUGUUGUGUAGCACUCCGCAGCUAUAAAUAAUUUUACCAGCUUUUAUGGGAUCAUAAUUCAAUACACGAUGUUUAAGUGUGUUUUCUGGAGCAUUUUCAAAUGGAGUUAAUAGAAAGGGCUGUAAAGGGUAUCCAGAGUCUCCAAUUAUAAAUAAAUUAGAGCCUUGAAUAUACUGAUUUUCCAUAAUAGCUUUGACAUGUGAAGCUUGCCAUAUAGCUGAAUCGUGAGUAGAACCAGGGAAGCGAGCGUUCAUGUUUAAUAUAUUAUAAUCGCUGUCCACAAUUAUUUGGCAAUUUAUACUAUAAUAUCCUUUCCUACA